ACUGGGCCCAGCAACUCUGGCCUCCGAGCAGAUCUCUCAUCUCCCCAGGCCCAGGACUCACUUCCACUAGCUGUGGAUCGUGGCCAGAUAUGAAGAGGAAAUGGAUCUCAUUUUUGGACAAGAUAUACAAAAGAGCCAUUGCACAGGACCAAAGAAAUGAAUCCAUGAAGGAAUGAUGCACUUCUAAGCCAAUACAAAGGACUUUAAUCUAGUGUGAAGACUCAAGGUUGUGAUGCUUAACAUAUGUUAAGAUGUAGGCCUUCCUUAUAUCCACACUCUUUGUGAAAAUACUUACAGCUGAGUAUCCCUAACUUGGCUCCUACCUGGCUCCUAUAAUAUAGUCCCUUUUCUGUCUUUCAUAGUGUGGUAAACUUUCUGUAGU
rnacentral:lncRNA from 1 species